UACAGAGGUCCCAAGCGUUGUUCGGAUUCAUUGGGCGUAAAGGGUGUGUAGGUGGCGCCGUAAGUCGGGUGUGAAAUUUCGGAGCUUAACUCCGAAACUGCAUUCGAUACUGCGGUGCUUGAGGACUGGAGAGGAGACUGGAAUUCAUGGUGUAGCAGUGAAAUGCGCAGAUAUCAGGAGGAACACCGGUGGCGAAGGCGGGUCUCUGGGCCGAUAUUGACGCUGAGGAGCGAAAGCGUGGGGAGCAAACAGG
rnacentral:rRNA from 1 species